rnacentral:misc_RNA from 1 species
AUGGCUAUCAUUAUCCUAAGACAUUCGGGGGUCAACCGAAGCCCGUAGCCGUCCUCGGACGUGACGGGUGGCUGGUAUCCUCCAUCUGAGGGAUGUAUGUCGCAGUGUGGGCAAUCCCCGCGUCUGUGGCGGACCAUCCCUUGGGAAACUCAGUGGGGGCAAUUGGAGGGGUCGUGGACGGCUUCCGGCGGCUUCGGCCCUGGACGUCUCCCGGCCCGGGCGUCGAGUUUCGGCUCGGCCCCGACCUUCUAGCUAACCCUGACCCCGUACCUUCGGGUACGGUCCAGGGAGGCUCGGGCUCCGGUCCGAGCCUCGCGGUGAAGAUAGUUACCUGGUUGAUUCUGCCA